AUUGAACGCUGGCGGAAUGCUUUACACAUGCAAGUCGAACGGCAGCAUAGGUGCUUGCACCUGAUGGCGAGUGGCGAACGGGUGAGUAAUAUAUCGGAACGUGCCCAGUCGUGGGGGAUAACGUAGUGAAAAUUACGCUAAUACCGCAUACGAUCUAAGGAUGAAAGCGGGGGAUCGCAAGACCUCGCGCGAUUGGAGCGGCCGAUAUCAGAUUAGGUAGUUGGUGAGGUAAAGGCUCACCAAGCCAACGAUCUGUAGCUGGUCUGAGAGGACGACCAGCCACACUGGGACUGAGACACGGCCCAGACUCCUACGGGAGGCAGCAGUGGGGAAUUUUGGACAAUGGACGCAAGUCUGAUCCAGCCAUUCCGCGUGCAGGACGAAGGCCUUCGGGUUGUAAACUGCUUUUGUACGGAACGAAAAGGUCUCUAUUAAUACUAGGGGCUCAUGACGGUACCGUAAGAAUAAGCACCGGCUAACUACGUGCCAGCCGCCGCGGUAA
rnacentral:rRNA from 1 species